rnacentral:misc_RNA from 1 species
CGAUUCAAGAAAAUUAAAGAAAAGAAACACUGAUGUUGUCUUUAUUCGAGAACGUUGGACUCAACUUUGGCGUGUAAAUUGGACCGCUCGUAUUUGAGGAGAAUCCAGGCAGAGGAUCGUUGCGGGUUCUUCUAUUUCAUCGCCUUGUACGUGCGUUUGAUUAGUUCAGCGAGUUUUGUAGUCAGGCUAGAACCUGAAGCUAUAGAUCUUCAAUUACAAAAUACCUGACUCCCAUGGACAUCUCAACGUAAUCUGAAUUGCUCUGUGAUCCAAGUCUUCCGGCGAACGAGAUCUUUGUCGGUUUCAGGUCACCGCAGAUAGCGAGUAUUUUUCACGAGAAGGCUUCGAUAAGCACAUAAUAAUCAAUCAGCCGUGUCCCUGUAUCAUUCAGAAUACGCUGAAUGUUGCAGAUUAUGAGACGUCCGCGACCGCAAUUGGACCAAAAAUAAUGAUGAAAAAAAUUUCGCACGGGAGUGCACCCCAUAUCUGACAAUCGGUGGAGGAAUGUACUGUACGGUAACUGGAAGUAAGUCUGAAAUAUUUAAUUCUUGCGCUAGCGACUCAUUGUCAGUAUAUGCCACCUAUUGAAUGGGUCUCCGAUAUAUUCGUAAUCGACUACCAAAUCAGCAAUUACAAAAAACAUCGUAUCUAAUCUAUUACUAAAACUAUUAUUCUAAUCUAGUUAUUCAUCGUAGUCGGAUGGAUAUUCUUCUGCCCCAGUCCGGAUGGUUUUACUUUCGAAAUAGUCAUCUCAAUUUCGUUCUGAAACGUUCUACGUUAGAUCUUGUGUCGCUGGAAGGAUGAUUUGUGACGAUGUAGUAUGGGAAAUCAGGAUACAUGUUGGGUAGGACUCGACGGAUAUUAUUGCAGCCCUUACGUCUCAAUAUUCGCCGGAUAAAAUUCUCUUAGGUGGUUAUUCGUUGUAAGUAAAAGUUUGCCCGUAGGUAGAGUGACCGAGUAGCAUGCAGGUCGUUUGGCGUGGUUCGUUGUGCGCGCGCGAAAUUCACAGUUAUAUUUAUUGACUUGGAGAGGUGGGGGUUUGGGGUAACGCGGUCUUCCGUGUUGUAUAAACUAUAAAAUAAAACUCGGAUGAAUUUAAAUCAUCAAUUUAAAAAUUGUCGCGCGUCACCGUU